GACGAACGCUGGCGGCGUGCUUAACACAUGCAAGUCGAACGGAAAGGCCCUGCUUUUGUGGGGUGCUCGAGUGGCGAACGGGUGAGUAACACGUGAGUAACCUGCCCUUGACUUUGGGAUAACUUCAGGAAACUGGGGCUAAUACCGGAUAGGAGCUCCUGCUGCAUGGUGGGGGUUGGAAAGUUUCGGCGGUUGGGGAUGGACUCGCGGCUUAUCAGCUUGUUGGUGGGGUAGUGGCUUACCAAGGCUUUGACGGGUAGCCGGCCUGAGAGGGUGACCGGCCACAUUGGGACUGAGAUACGGCCCAGACUCCUACGGGAGGCAGCAGUGGGGAAUAGUGCACAAUGGGCGGAAGCCUGAUGCAGCAACGCCGCGUGCGGGAUGACGGCCUUCGGGUUGGAAACCGAUUUCGCCUGUGACGAAGCGUGAGUGACGGUAAUGGGUAAAGAAGCACCGGCUAACUACGUG
rnacentral:rRNA from 1 species